GGUGAAGCGGUUAACUGUUUGGCUGCCAACCAAAAGGUCAGUGGUUCGAAUCCACC
rnacentral:tRNA from 1 species